rnacentral:sRNA from 8 species
AUGUACCACUCGUACACUCCGGUUCUGAGCGCGCCGUCCGCGCCCACCUGACAGCUGCUCGCUACGUUUUGUUAGCC